GAAACUGAGACCCAGCACAGGGAAAUGACACAUUCAAGUUCACACAGAAUUAGCUUCAUCCCAGGCAGCUCUACCUGCCUGGUAUCCUGAUGAUCUCCAACAGAUCCAAUCUUACCUUCUAUCAUCCUAACAACUAGCAAAUGCUCUCCAGUAAAUAUCUGGAACUCCAAACUCCAUCUCACUUCAGCUUUUUGAGAGCUCAACCUAGAGACCAGCAUGGAUCCAACUGCAAUAAGCUUUGUAUAUGAAGCUGAGCCUGUUACCUGUACUCAAGCAUUUCAUAAGGAGAACCAAUACAUAAAAUGUGCACUCUAAAUUCUCAGUAUCUCCCAAAGCCUGAAAUAAACAUUCUGCCUUGUUACAAAGCUGGGAAAACAAAGAAUAAAAAUGACUCUAUUAUAUGUGUUCUACAAA